UAUACUGCUAGAUAUGUUUGAUAUUCUUGGUUGUAUAAUAAUAACGACCAGGAAUCAAACAUAUUAUUACAGUG
rnacentral:pre_miRNA from 1 species